rnacentral:ncRNA from 1 species
GCGUUAUCACGAAAGCGGGAGGGAAUAGACCCUACGAACGCUUAGCAACCCCUCAACCUCGAGGAAGGUGCUACAUUCUAUUCUGAUUUUUUCAGAAAAAGAUAACUU